GUAGUUAGCCGGGGCUUUCUUACAGGGUACCGUCACUUCUUCGUCCCCUGCGACAGAGGUUUACAAUCCGAAAACCUUCUUCCCUCACGCGGCGUUGCUGGGUCAGGCUUGCGCCCAUUGCCCAAUAUUCCCCACUGCUGCCUCCCGUAGGAGUCUGGACCGUGUCUCAGUUCCAGUGUGGCCGAUCAGCCUCUCAGCUCGGCUACCCAUCGUCGGCUUGGUGGGCUGUUACCUCACCAUCUAGCUAAUUGGACGCGAGUCCAUCCUAAAGCGAAUAAAUCCUUUUACCGCAGCUCGAUGCCGAGCCGUGGUCUUAUGCGGUAUUAGCAGUCGUUUCCAACUGUUGUCCCCCACUCUAGGGCAGGUUACUCACGCGUUACUCACCCGUUCGCCACUAGACUUGAAAAGCAAGCUUCUCAAGUCCCGUUCGACUUGCAUGUGUUAGGCGCGCCGCCAGCGUCGUCCUGAGCCACGGAUCAAACUACUGA
rnacentral:rRNA from 1 species